rnacentral:misc_RNA from 1 species
GAUGAAGAACGCAGCGAAAUGCGAUAAGUAAUGUGAAUUGCAGAAUUCAGUGAAUCAUCGAAUCUUUGAACGCACCUUGCACCCUUUGGAAUUCCAAAGGGUAUGCUCGUUUGAGUGUCAUUGUACUCUCACACUCUCCGAUCCUUUGGAUUUGGGGAGCGGUGGACUUGGGUGUUUGCUGCUUUCAUUGUGGCUCACCUCAAAUGUGUCAGUGCAUCUCUUGAUUGGACAUAGUACGGCGUGAUAGGUGUCUUCGCCGGCACCUCAUAAGAGGGUGGCCGAUCAGGAGCUCUGUGCUUUCAAACUGUCUUCGGACAAUCUCUGACAACUUGACCUCAAAUCGAGUAGGACUACCCGCUGAACUUAAGCAUAUCAAUAAGCGGAGGA